CCAAAAAGUUCAUUCGGGUUUUUCCAUAAGAUGGCAUCGCGAAACCCGAACAAACUUUUUGGC
rnacentral:miRNA from 1 species